rnacentral:lncRNA from 7 species
AUGUGGGGCAGCAGCACAGGCGCUGUGCUGGGUGGUGCUGUGUCUCAAUUUGCUCGGGUUGGGCUGGCAUCGCUGCUGGCACUGCUUCUUCUCAGCAAGCUGUUGGAGCCGACGAGAGCCAGGAGAAGACAGAUUGCCUGCAUGUUGUACUGCACAUCUUGGAGUGUUAGACCACAAAUCUGCUGAGAGCUGAGGAAGUGAAACCUACGUACCCUUGGGCCAAAUCCCACUUCUGCAGAGCGUGAAACUCCGGGGCAGGAGCCAAGUGGGAGCCCAGGUGGAGAGGAGCAGAUCCUCGUGGGUUUGUAUUCCAGGAGAUGUGAAUGGAAUCAGAAGCAGAGGAUGGGAAGGCUGCCUGCACUGUGCAGAGGAAUGUGGGAGAGCACACGAUUGCCGUGGAAACCAGCUAUAGUAAAUGGAGCUCUUCAGCUGCAGGGGAGGAUUUAUAGCACCAGGCAAUUUAAAUCAGCCAUCCGCAGGUAAACUGGCACAUUUCACUGCACAUCAUUGUCUCCGUGCACUGUAAAAGGGAAAAAGAAGGGUGGGUGGUAGGGGAGAACUGCAGGAUUACGAAGUCAGAAAAACCCACAGAAGCUGCUGCAGAGGUUCUCGUGGUUUGGGGUAGAGGCUGGUCCUGGCAUGCAGGGGGCAGGCAUGUGUUCCCUGUGCACUGAAGAGGAGCAAUAGGUGCAAGGAUGCUGCAGACCUGUGUGUCAGAGUUGGGCACUACUCACCUGUCUGAUCCUGCUCCCACCUGAGGCAGUGGUUAAACACGACUCACCUGGAGCCACCUGGGGCUGCUGGGCUAUCCAGCUGCUACAGAACUGCACGGAUGUAAGGAAUGUGCCUUAUUACCACCCCUAGUGAUGACACUCCGAAUCUCCUGACUCAUUGGAUUUGGGGUGGUUGGAUUUAAGUAUGCAGUUCAGUAUGCAGCCAGGUGUAUUUGUGGCACUAAACAUAAUGUACCAAAGACUGUGUGCUCUGUGAUUGUGUUCCACUGCCCUCCACUUUUUGUUCUAAGUUACUUUGUUCUGCUCCAGCCUUUCAGCAAAAAUGUAGCCUUAUUAUUGAUAAGAUUAAUCUAUAUGGAGAUAAGUGCAAGGGAAAAUAGGUACUAGCUGCUUACUCAUCUCCAGUGGAAAACAAACAUGGCAUAUUUGAAGGCUAAAUUCACUGCUGAUGCAGCUGUGUUACAGUAAUAGAUCUCUUUGUGCAGGUAGGGAAGCUGACCCCAAGGAAUCACUGUUACACUGCAGCAGCGUUGGUGGGCACGUUACCAUUGGUGAUGGGCUGAGGUUUAGAACUGGUGAUCUUGGAGGUCUUUUCCCACCUUUCUGAUUCUCCGAUUUCCUUCGCUGAGAGAAUGAACCAAUGCUGAACUCCUGGAAAUGAUGGAUUUGUAUUGCUGAGCCCAUGAGACCAAGGAGCCCCAUCACUGGACUCGUUUCACUGUGCUCUCUGGUAGAAAGGUGAUCUCCAAAGCCAAAAGCAGCAGCCAGGAGGUGGGCACACGUCCUGAGGAGCAACACCACUCCCUUGGCUCCCAUUGCUUUUCUGAGGACAGGGAAGGGAAGGGCUGGCACUGCUCUGCACCGCUCCCAUUCUCUCACCCAGAACCACUGCUCUGCUCCCUUCCUGGCAGCCAGCACAGCCUCCAGGCUGCACUCCACAGAGGACACACACGUUUGGUCUCCGUGGACAACUUGAACAGACAUUCACAUUCAUUUGGUCCCGUAGGCCACACAGGCUGCUAAUCACACUGUGUGAUCGAUACUUCAGUGCAAGUCACAAUAAAAACACGAGCAGCAUGUCAGCCACAGCGCUGAGAUCUGCCAGCCUGGGGAAAAUAGCAGAUAUCAAUAGAUAGAACUAAUUGAUAUGUC